rfam:Dipodomys ordii contig_34976, whole genome shotgun sequence.
GGGAAUGUAACUUAGUGGUAGAGUGCUUGCUUUGUAUGCAUGAAGCUCUGGGUUCAAUUCCUCAGUAUCA